UGGGACUAUUUGACCUUAAAAUAGGCUG
rnacentral:piRNA from 1 species